UACGUAGGGUGCAAGCGUUGUCCGGAAUUAUUGGGCGUAAAGAGCUCGUAGGCGGUUUGUCGCUUCUGCUGUGAAAGUUCGGGGCUCAACCCCGGAACUGCAGUGGGUACGGGCAGACUAGAGUGCGGUAGAGGAGACUGGAAUUCCUGGUGUAGCGGUGGAAUGCGCAGAUAUCAGGAGGAACUCCAGUGGCGUAGGCGGGUCUCUGGGCCGCAACUGACGCUGAUGAGCGAAAGCGUGGGGAGUGAACAGG
rnacentral:rRNA from 1 species